UACGUAGGUGGCAAGCGUUGUCCGGAUUUACUGGGCGUAAAGAGCGCGCAGGCGGUCGUUCAAGUCGCGUGUGAAAGCCCCCGGCUCAACUGGGGAGGGUCACGCGAUACUGAUCGACUCGAAGGCAGGAGAGGGUAGUGGAAUUCCCGGUGUAGUGGUGAAAUGCGUAGAUAUUCGGAAGAACACCAGUGGCGAAGGCGACUUACUGGACACAUAUUGACGCUGAGGUGCGAAAGCGUGGGGAGCAAACAGG
rnacentral:rRNA from 2 species